AAACUCUUCUGGGAAAUGAGAUUGAGGAAAACUAAGUAGACCAUGGCCUCUCUCUGGUUGCAGAUGUGAAGGAGUUGAUGUGUGAAAAGAUAUCGAGAAGGAGAGUUGUGGGAAUAGACAGCUAUCUGCAGGUGGAGGCAAAAUCUUGGGAUGAAGCGGUACCAAAGCGAGAGUGCAGAAGGAAGGAGGAAGCCAAAAAGAAGCAGAAAAAGGAAUUGGUUGCCUGUCAGAGUAGAAAUCAACCUGAAGCCUCAGACCAAAAGACAACACUGAAGAGAAAGAGAGAGUAUGAGGGUCUUGUAAAUAAAAAAGGGGUUAGUAGCAAAUUUAGUG